rnacentral:lncRNA from 1 species
AUGUGGAGACAGAGGGAUGGUCAGAGGGAUAUGGUGGGAGGAUCCAAAGUUACUGUUGCUGUCUUUGAAGAUAUAGGAAGGGGCCUUGAGCCAAGGGAUGCUGAUGGCUUCGGAAAGGUGAGGAAAGGGAUCAGACCCUUGAGCCCUCAUGGAGUCAUGCAGCCCUGUGCUGGACUUCGGACCUCCAAAACAGUAAGGAGAGCUGCAUUUCUCCUGGACCCCCGGGAAGAAUGCCCACCCCCCCAACCCCGAGCACUCAGAGACCACACAGCAGACCUCCCUGACACCUGCUUUUCUCAUAGCCCUUGUACUUCUCGAGACCACAAGAAGUGCACACAGCAGGAAGCUGCUUAGCAACUGCACGUAGGAAAUGAGGAUUCCAAAAUAUUACUGUGAGUUUCUUCCUCCCUACUUUGUUCUCCUGGGCUGUUUCAGUUCUUCACGACUCAGUCACUGGUCCGUCCCACAACAUGCUAACCGGUUCUGCAGGCCCCAGGACGUGAACUGUGCCGACGCCUGGCGUGCCUUCCUGGGGGGGGCUGCAGGUGGAGGUCCUAGGGGACUGCCUCACAGAGCCAGCUGGUCCCCAAGGGGGGUUCUGGGGGGAUGUGACUCUCAGGCCCCUGGGGUUCUCUGGGGCUGAGCUGACCUGGCCCGAGUUCCCUUUACUCUCACCCCCUCACCUGUGCACUCUGGCUGCCUCCCCGUGCUUCCAUGCUUCCUCUCUUGGCGGGAUGAGACCCUCAUCCCUCACCCUUGGUCUCCGACCCUGUGCAUAUGCGUCACCAUCUCCACAUCCCUUUUGUUCCGCUGUCCUCUGUGUCUCUCCCUGUGUCUCCCUCAGCUUCUUUUUAUUUCGGACUCUCUCUCUCUCUGUGUCUCUGACUUUGUCUCUUUCUGUCUCUAAGUGUCUCCAUCUCUCACCAUCUCUGUAUCUCUUGGUGUUUCAUUCCCCUCUCUUUCUCCUUUUCACAUUCUUUCUGGAUCCCUCUCUGCCUCUGUCCUCUUUCUCUCUCUACCCACCCCCUUCCCACUGCUGAUCCCCCCUCUCCCUCUCUGGAGCUCAGCGACCUGGUCCCCACUCCCCAAGCAUGAAGUGGGCUCAGUUUCCAGGAUAGCUAAUAAUGCACAUCGAGGGUUCAUUUCUCUCGUUCCCCGUCAACUCUCCUUCCAUGUCAGAAUCCCCCGAGUCUGGCCAAAAGUGCUUCCUAGGAAAGCGCCCACGUGCCGUAGCAGAAGCCACCCAGCCACGCUGUGCCCUGGGGAGCCCCAGAGAAGGGGGGCUCGUGGACUGCGGCAUGCAGCGUGCCGGGAUUUCUCUGGCGGGGUUCCAGCCAGUCAGGGCCAAUUAAUAUGAAAUCAAUAGGCCCAAUCGACGUUUCCAGAAGUUAGCUCAAAAAAAAAAAAAAAAAAUCCCCGAAGAUGAACCAGCCUGUGGCCUUUGCUAUGAAAUUGUUACCACACCACUUUCUUUUCUUUUGAAAGUCCAGAUGGGCAGAUAAAUCCGAAGUGGAUCACCCACAUCUGUCAUUCCCCACACACACACAAAUUACACCCCCGCCCACCACUUCCCUCUUUCCUCUCCAACAUUCAACGACACUUGGAGUCCGGGCUGGACUGAUAUUUUAGGCCGCACUGUAUGUUUUGAAUUCCCCCAUUGUAUUAAGAGGAACUGCAUCGCGACCCCUCCGAGGCAAAGAGCUGGCACAUUCUGGAAAGCUGCCUUUUCCCGAGGCGAGGGCUGCAGGGGUGCAGGGGACCGCCUCCUCCCGGGUUCAGAAUGGGCCAACAGGCAAACCCAGCCGCAUCGGCUCCUUGCUGUCCUGUUCAGCACCAGCAUACUCGGACCCAGAAAGCUUAGGUGGCUCGUCUCCAUUUACAAAGUCCUCCUUUUCUACACUUGCUAGGCAAUGUAGUGCCCUGCCCAACCAACAUGAGCUUACUCCUAAAGCCCUUCCCGGAGAGGGGGGUAUGGAGGCGGGAAGGGGAGACACCAGAGG